AACGCGACUUAGGCUUCGGCCUAAGUUGAGUGGCGAACGGGUGAGUAACACGUGGGUGACCUACCUUCGAGUGGGGGAUAACGUCCCGAAAGGGACGCUAAUACCGCAUAACAUCCUGCCUUUGAACAGGUGGAGAUCAAAGCCGGGGAUCGCAAGACCUGGCGCUUGAUGAGGGGCCCGCGCCUGAUUAGCUAGUUGGUGGGGUAAUGGCUCACCAAGGCGACGAUCAGUAUCCGGCCUGAGAGGGCGGACGGACACACUGGGACUGAGACACGGCCCAGACUCCUACGGGAGGCAGCAGUGGGGAAUUGUUCGCAAUGGGCGCAAGCCUGACGACGCAACGCCGCGUGGAGGAUGAAGGUCUUCGGAUUGUAAACUCCUGUUGCUCGGGACGAAAAGCUUCGACCUAAUACGUCGAAGUCUGACGGUACCGAGUGAGGAAGCCCCGGCUAACUCUGUGCCAGCAGCCGCGGUAAUACAGAGGGGGCAAGCGUUGUUCGGAAUUACUGGGCGUAAAGGGCGCGUAGGCGGCCUGCUAAGUCGAACGUGAAAUCCCUGGGCUCAACCCAGGAACUGCGUCCGAUACUGGUUGGCUUGAAUCCGGGAGAGGGAUGUGGAAUUCCAGGUGUAGCGGUGAAAAUGCGUAGAUAUCUGGAAGGAACACCGGUGGCGAAGGC
rnacentral:rRNA from 1 species